UAGUGUUACGUCUUUUUUAGAAUUUGUCUAGCAGCUUUUCCAGUUUUCACUGGGGGAAAAAA
rnacentral:snRNA from 1 species